AGAGUUUGAUCCUGGCUCAGAUUGAACGCUGGCGGCAUGCCUAACACAUGCAAGUCGAACGGCAGCACAGGGGUAGCAAUACCCUGGGUGGCGAGUGGCGGACGGGUGAGUAAAGCAUCGGGACCUACCCAGACGUGGGGGAUAACGUAGGGAAACUUACGCUAAUACCGCAUACGUCCUACGGGAGAAAGCGGGGGACCUUCGGGCCUCGCGCGGUUGGACGGACCGAUGUGCGAUUAGCUAGUUGGCGGGGUAAAGGCCCACCAAGGCGACGAUCGCUAGCUGGUCUGAGAGGAUGAUCAGCCACACUGGAACUGAGACACGGUCCAGACUCCUACGGGAGGCAGCAGUGGGGAAUAUUGGACAAUGGGCGCAAGCCUGAUCCAGCAAUGCCGCGUGUGUGAAGAAGU
rnacentral:rRNA from 1 species